rnacentral:rRNA from 1 species
CGCUAUCAGAUGAGCCUAGGUCGGAUUAGCUAGUUGGUGGGGUAAAGGCCUACCAAGGCGACGAUCCGUAACUGGUCUGAGAGGAUGAUCAGUCACACUGGAACUGAGACACGGUCCAGACUCCUACGGGAGGCAGCAGUGGGGAAUAUUGGACAAUGGGCGAAAGCCUGAUCCAGCCAUGCCGCGUGUGUGAAGAAGGUCUUCGGAUUGUAAAGCACUUUAAGUUGGGAGGAAGGGCAGUAAGUUAAUACCUUGCUGUUUUGACGUUACCAACAGAAUAAGCACCGGCUAACUUCGUGCCAGCAGCCGCGGUAAUACGAAGGGUGCAAGCGUUAAUCGGAAUUACUGGGCGUAAAGCGCGCGUAGGUGGUUCAGCAAGUUGGAUGUGAAAUCCCCGGGCUCAACCUGGGAACUGCAUCCAAAACUACUGAGCUAGAGUACGGUAGAGGGUGGUGGAAUUUCCUGUGUAGCGGUGAAAUGCGUAGAUAUAGGAAGGAACACCAGUGG